rnacentral:rRNA from 1 species
AUGCAUGUCCAAGUUCAACGAUGGAAAUCGUGAAACCGCGAAUGGCUCAUUAAAUCAGUUUUGGUUCAUUUGUAUAUUAGUCUCUAUAUGGACAACUGCGGUAACCCUGCAGCUAAUACAUGCUAAGUGCUAAUUUACGGAUUAGAACUUUUACAUGUUGAAUUUAUUCCCUGGCUUGGAAUUGUCUGCCAAGUAUGCGUAAUGAACUACUGUAACUGAAGGACCCCAAACGCCAUAGUGCUAGGGGCGAUGCAUUCGAAUAUCUGCCCUAUCAACUACUGACGGUAGUGUAACGGACUACCGUGGUUGUGACGGGUAACGGGGAAUCAGGGUUCGAUUCCGGAGAGGGAGCCUGAGAAACGGCUACCACAUCUAAGGACGGCAGCAGGCGCGCAAAUUACCCAAUCCCGGAACGGGGAGGUAGUGACGAAAAAUAACAAUAUGAGCCCUAAGGGGUUUCUAUUGUAAUGGAUGGAAUUUAACAAAUUCCAUGAGGAUCUAGUAGAGGGCAAGUCUGGUGCCAGCAGCCGCGGUAAUACCAGCCUCUACAAGCAUAUGCAAAUGUUGCUGCGUUUGAAAAGCUCAUAGUUGGAUCCGAUGAUGAUUGAUGUCAGAGGUACCUACCGGUUCGGCCGAGGUACCGGGCACACAUCUGUUUUUCCGUUUAGACUGUUUGCACUUAACUGUGUCGAAUAGUCGAGACGGAAAAUUUACCUUGAGUAAAUUAGAGUGUUCAAGGCAACCCUCGGGUUUGUGAACAAUAAAGCAUGGAAUAAUGGAGGAUGACCCGCUCUCUAUAUAGCAGGGUGCUGGAGAUGCGGUAAUGAUUGAAAGGAACAGUUGGGGGCAUUCGUAUUGCUACGUUAGAGGUGAAAUUCUUGGAUCGUGGCAAGACGAACUACUGCGAAAGCAUUUGCCAAGAAUGUUUUCAUUAAUCAAGAACGAAAGUCAGAGCAUUGAAGAGGAUUAGAUACCCUCGUAAUUCUGACCAUAAACGAUACCGACUUACGAUUUGUCAAAGUCCUGCAUGACUUGUCAAGGAGUUAACCGGAAAACCAAAGUUUUUUGGUUCCGGGGGAAGUAUGGUUGCAAAAUCGAAACUUAAAGGAAUUGACGGAAGGGCACCACCAGGGGUGGAGCCUGCGGCUUAAUUUGACUCAACACGGGAAAACUCACCAGGUCCAGACAUCGAAAGGAUUGACAGAUUGAAUAUCUUUCAUGAUUCAAUGGGUGGUGGUGCAUGGCCGUUCUUAGUUAGUGGAGUGAUCUGUCUGGUUAAUUCCGAUAACGAACGAGAUCCCGGCCAUUUAAAUAGAAGUAGCAACCGUGGUUGCUGGGUACUUCUUAAAGGAACUAUGCGGAACACAUACCGCAAGGAAGUGGGGCUAUAACAGGUCUGUGAUGCCCUUAGAUGUCCUGGACUGCACGCGCGCUACACUGAAUACUGUAUUGUGAAGGAUACCUUGUCCGAAAUGGUCCGGGUAAUCACAUGAAAGUAUGAGUCAUUAUGGGGAUGGAGUAUUGUAAUUAGUACUCCUGAACGAGGAACCCCUCGUAAACACAAGUCAACAACUUGUAUUGAUUACGUCCCUGCCCUUUGUACACACCGCCCGUCGCUACUACUGAUCGGAUGGUUAAGCAAGAACUUUUGAACCUUGCUGUCUUCAGCUUCGGCUGAUUCAGUGGGCGGAUAAAGAUCGAGCUUAUUGUCUA